rnacentral:rRNA from 1 species
CAAUAGCGUAUAUUCAAAUUGUUGCGGUUAAAAAGCUCGUAGUUGGAUUCUGCUGAGGACGACCGGUCCGCCCUCUGGGUGAGUAUCUGGCUUGGCCUUGGCAUCUUCUUGGAGAACGUAGCUGCACUUGACUGUGUGGUGCGGUAUCCAGGACUUUUACUUUGAGGAAAUUAGAAUGUUUCAAGCAGGCACACGCCUUGAAUACAUUAGCAUGGAAUAAUAAGAUAGGACCUUGGUUCUAUUUUGUUGGUUUCUAAAGCUGAGGUAAUGAUUAAUACGGAUCAUUGGGGGCAUUCGUAUUUAACUGUCAGAGGUGAAAAUCUUGGAUUUGUUAAAGACGGACUACUGCGAAAGCAUUUGCCAAGGAUGUUUUCAUUGAUCAAGAACGAAAGUUAAGGGAUCGAAGACGAUCAGAUACCGU